rnacentral:tRNA from 1 species
GGAGACGUCGCAUAGUGGCCUAGUGCGCUCGCUUGGAAAGCGAGUAGGGAUAAAACCCUCGCGAGUUCAAAUCUCGCCGUCUCCG